CUUGAACGCUGGCGGCAGGCCUAACACAUGCAAGUCGAGCGGCGCGGUGGACGGGUGAGUAAUGCCUAGGAAUCUGCCUGUUAGUGGGGGAUAACUUCCGGAAACGUGCGCUAAUACCGCAUACUAUCAGAUGAGCCUAGGUCGAAUUAGCUAGUUGGUGGGGUAAAGGCCUACCAAGUCGACGAUCCGUAACUGGUCUGAGAGGAGGAUCGGUCACACUGGAAAUGAGACACGGUCCAGACUCCUACGGGAGGCAGCAGUGGGGAAUAUUGGACAAUGGGCGAAAGUCUGAUCCAGCCAUGCCGCGUGUGUGAAGAAGGUCUUCGGAUGGUAAAGCACUUUAAGUUGGGAGGCGUUACCAACAGAGUAAGCACCGGCUAACUUCGUGCCAGCAGCCGCGGUAAUUC
rnacentral:rRNA from 1 species